rnacentral:rRNA from 1 species
UAACGGUCCUAAGGUAGCGAAAUUCCUUGUCGGGUAAGUUCCGACCUGCACGAAUCGUGAAACGAGUUGGGCACUGUCUCAACCAGGCGCUCAGUGAAAUUGUAGUGGCGGUGAAGAUGCCGCCUACCCGCAGAAGGACGGAAAGACCCUAUAGACCUUAACUGUAAGCUGUCAUUGUUUCUUCGGUUUUAAUGCUCAGAGUAAGUGGGAGACGCUGAAGACGCCCUUUAGGGGGCGUCCGAGUCAUCAAUGAGACACCACCCUUUGAAACUGGAGGAUCUAACCCUGAGCCGUGAAUCCGGCCAGAGGACCGUGUCAGCCGGUCAGUUUUACUGGGGCGGUAUCCUCCCAAAGAGUAACGGAGGAGCGCGAAGGUGGGCUCAGCCCGGUUGGCAACCGGGUGUCGAGUGCAUGGGCAUAAGCCCGCCUAACUGUGAGACCAACAAGUCGAGCAGAUGCGAAAGCAGGCCCAAGUGAUCCGGCGGUAGAAAGUGGAAUUGCCGUCGCUCAACGGAUAAAAGGUACCUUAGGGAUAACAGGCUGAUCACGCCCAAGAGUUCAUAUCGACGGCGUGGUUUGGCACCUCGAUGUCGGCUCGUCGCAUCCUGGGGCUGGAGAAGGUCCCAAGGGUCCGGCUGUUCGCCGGUUAAAGCGGCACGCGAGCUGGGUUCAGAACGUCGCGAGACAGUUCGGUCCUCUAUCCUCUGUGGGCGUUGGAAAAUUGAGGGGUUCAGACCUUAGUACGAGAGGACCGGGUCUGACGCACCACUGGUGCAUCGGUUGUACUGUCAAGUGCAUGGCCGAGUAGCUAAGUGCGGACGGGAUAAGCGCUGAAAGCAUCUAAGCGCCAAGCCCUUCCCAAGAUGAGUUUUCCCUACAGGUUCGUGGAAGACCACCACGUUGAUAGGUCGCAGGUGUAAGUGCAGCAAUGUAUUGAGCCGAGCGAUACUAAUUACCAAUUGACUUCAUCAU